GACGAACGCUGGCGGCGUGCUUAACACAUGCAAGUCGAACGGAAAGGCCCUGCUUUUGUGGGGUGCUCGAGUGGCGAACGGGUGAGUAACACGUGAGUAACCUGCCCUUGACUUUGGGAUAACUUCAGGAAACUGGGGCUAAUAUCGGAUAGGAGCUCCUGCUGCAUGGUGGGGGUUGGAAAGUUUCGGCGGUUGGGGAUGGACUCGCGGCUUAUCAGCUUGGUGGUGGGGUAGUGUCUUACCAAGGCUUUGACGGGUAGCCGGCCUGAGAGGGUGACCGGCCACAUUGGGACUGAGAUGCGGCCCAGACUCCUACGGGAGGCAGCGGUGGGGAAGAUUGCACAAUGGGCGGAAGCCUGAUGCAGCAACGCCGCGUGCGGGAUGACGGCCUUCGUGUUGUAAACCGCUUUCGCCUGUGACGAAGCGUGAGUGACGGUAAUGGGUAAAGAAGCACCGGCUAACUACGUG
rnacentral:rRNA from 1 species